UAUUAACUCUGGCGGCGUGCUUAACACAUGCAAGUCGAACGGAAAGGCCCAAGCUUGCUUGGGUACUCGAGUGGCGAACGGGUGAGUAACACGUGGGUGAUCUGCCCUGCACUUCGGGAUAAGCCUGGGAAACUGGGUCUAAUACCGGAUAGGACCACAUUUUGGAUGGUGUGGUGGAAAGUUUUUCGGUGUGGGAUGAGCUCGCGGCCUAUCAGCUUGUUGGUGGGGUAAUGGCCUACCAAGGCGUCGACGGGUAGCCGGCCUGAGAGGGUGUACGGCCACAUUGGGACUGAGAUACGGCCCAGACUCCUACGGGAGGCAGCAGUGGGGAAUAUUGCACAAUGGGCGCAAGCCUGAUGCAGCGACGCCGCGUGGGGGAUGACGGCCUUCGGGUUGUAAACUCCUUUCGCUAGGGACGAAGCGUUUUUGUGACGGUACCUGGAGAAGAAGCACCGGCUAACUACGUG
rnacentral:rRNA from 1 species